rnacentral:rRNA from 1 species
AGUCGAGGGGCAACGGGGAUGUUAGCUUGCUAAUAUCUGCCGGCGACCGGCGCACGGGUGAGUAACGCGUAUGCGACCUGCCCGUCACAGGGGGAUAAUCCGGAGAAAUCCGGUCUAAUACCGCAUAAUAUCGUGAAUCUGCAUGGAUUUGCGAUUAAAGGAGCGAUCCGGUGACGGAUGGGCAUGCGUGACAUUAGCUAGUCGGCGGGGUAACGGCCCACCGAGGCGACGAUGUCUAGGGGUUCUGAGAGGAAGGUCCCCCACACUGGUACUGAGACACGGACCAGACUCCUACGGGAGGCAGCAGUGAGGAAUAUUGGUCAAUGGGCUUACGCCUGAACCAGCCAAGUCGCGUGAGGGAAGACUGCCCUAUGGGUUGUAAACCUCUUUUGUCAGGGAGCAACGCCGGCUACGUGUAGCCGGACUGAGAGUACCUGAAGAAAAAGCAUCGGCUAACUCCGUGCCAGCAGCCGCGGUAAUACGGAGGAUGCGAGCGUUAUCCGGAUUUAUUGGGUUUAAAGGGUGCGUAGGCGGAAUGCCAAGUCAGCGGUAAAAUCGCGGGGCUCAACCUCGCUCCGCCGUUGAAACUGGCGUUCUUGAGUGGGCGAGAAGUAUGCGGAAUGCGUGGUGUAGCGGUGAAAUGCAUAGAUAUCACGCAGAACUCCGAUUGCGAAGGCAGCAUACCGGCGCCCAACUGACGCUGAAGCACGAAAGCGUGGGUAUCGA